rnacentral:rRNA from 1 species
CCUACGGGAGGCAGCAGUGAGGAAUAUUGGUCAAUGGACGCAAGUCUGAACCAGCCAUGCCGCGUGCAGGAAGACGGCUCUAUGAGUUGUAAACUGCUUUUGUACGAGGGUAAAUCCCGAUACGUGUAUCGGGUUGAAAGUAUCGUACGAAUAAGGAUCGGCUAACUCCGUGCCAGCAGCCGCGGUAAUACGGAGGAUUCAAGCGUUAUCCGGAUUUAUUGGGGUUAAAGGGUGCGUAGGCGGUUCGAUAAGUUAGAGGUGAAAGCCCGGGGCGCAACUCCGGCACUGCCUCUGAUACUGUCGGGCUAGAGUUUAGUUGCGGUAGGCGGAAUGUAUGGUGUAGCGGUGAAAUGCAUAGAGAUCAUACAGAACACCGAUUGCGAAGGCAGCUUACCAAACUACGACUGACGUUGAGGCACGAAAGCGUGGGGAGCAAACAGGAUUAGAUACCCCUGUAGUC